rnacentral:rRNA from 1 species
GACGAACCGAGCGAACGUUGUUCGGAAUCACUGGGCUUAAAGGGCGCGUAGGCGGGCUGCCGCGUCCGGGGUGAAAUCCCACGGCUCAACCGUGGAACGGCCCCGGGUACGGGCGGCCUCGAGGGGGGUAGGGGCGUGCGGAACUGUGGGUGGAGCGGUGAAAUGCGUUGAUAUCGAUAGGAACUCCGGUGGCGAAGGCGGCAUACUGGACCACCUCUGACGCUGAGGCGCGAAAGCCAGGGGAGCAAACGGG